rnacentral:rRNA from 1 species
ACGGCGAGUGANCGGCAAAGCUCAAAUUUGAAAUCGGCCCCCAGGUCGAGUUGUAAUUUGUAGAUUGUAUCUUGAGAGCGGAUUAAAGUCUGUUGGAACACAGCGCCUUAGAGGGUGACAGCCCCGUAAAAUCUAUUCUCAUUGUAAGAUACUUUCGAAGAGUCGAGUUGUUUGGGAAUGCAGCUCUAAGUGGGAGGUAAAUUCCUUCUAAAGCUAAAUAUUGACGAGAGACCGAUAGCGAACAAGUACUGUGAAGGAAAGAUGAAAAGCACUUUGAAAAGAGAGUGAAAAAGUACGUGAAAUUGUUAAAAGGGAAGGGUAUUGAAUCAGACUUGGUGCUGUUGUUCAACUGUGUUUUGGCNNNNNGUACUCAGCAGUACUAGGCCAAGGUGGGGUGUUUGGGAGUGAAAAAGAAGUUGGAACGUAACUCUUCGGAGUGUUAUAGCCUACUUUCAUAGCUCCUCAGGCGCCUCAGGACUGCGCUUCGGCAAGGACCUUGGCAUAAUGAUUCUAUACCGCCCGUCUUNAA